UGCCACGUCAAUUAAUGAAUCAAUCCAGCGCUCCUGGUUUUUUGUUAUUUUUUAUUUUCUGUUUUAUUUUCUUUUAAUUCCUUUUUAUUUCAGAAAUUCAUAACUAUUUUAUUUGAAGUCACAAAAAUAUGAGACCAAUGGCAAAAAAUUUCUUGAAAAAUCUAGCUUCAUAAUCUGAUUUUUAAUUAUUUUUGUGACU
rnacentral:lncRNA from 1 species